UAUUCAGAGGCUGCAAGACCAAAUGGAGUGACGAAGACUGUCCCAUUUCGAAGGCUCCUUAAAAUGUGGCCUCAAAAUAAGUCCUUUGUUUCCCGGGCCACAAAGGAUACAAGGAAUCCCAAGAUUCAUUGCUCACAGGAGAUCCAAUAAAUGAAGUGCACUCUCCGGACAAAUCCCUAUUAACGGGACUCCUGACAAAUGAACCAGGUGAACUCAAAACUGACUUGAGUGAUUUGAUUGUGCAAGGUCUGCAAAAGGAACAGGACAAAGCCUCAAAGAAAGACACCAAAAAGAAGAGGAGAAGGAGAAGGAUGAAGCCCAACCAGGAGAGGAUCAUCUCU